rnacentral:miRNA from 1 species
GUCGGACCAGGCUUCAUUCCU